UAAUCUGAGAAAGGUCUAAGAGUCAGGAAGC
rnacentral:piRNA from 1 species